rnacentral:piRNA from 1 species
UGCCACCCAUUUACUUAGUAAAUUAGCAA